AUGCUCCUGUGCAUCAUAAUACCAUGCAGCGUGUCCCCGUGUAAUGCAUCCCUGUGCAGUGCAUCCCUGUGCAAUGCAUUUCUGUGCAGUGCAUCCCUGUGCAUUGUGAUCACGUGCAAUGCACCUCCAUGCAAUGCAUCCCUGCACGUUGUGAUCCCGUGCAAUGCAGCUCUGUGCAAUGCGUCUCUGUGCAUUGUGACCCCGUGCAAUGCAUCCCCGUGCAAUGCAUCCUCGUGCAAUGCAUCCCUGCGCAUCAUCGUGAUCCCAUGCAACGCGUCCCUGUGCAACGUGUCCCUGUGCAGUGCAUCCCUGUGCAAUGCAUCCCUGUGCAGUGCAUCCCUGUGCAUUGUGAUCACGUGCAAUGCACCUCCAUGCAAUGCAUCCCUGCACGUUGUGAUCCCGUGCAAUGCAGCUCUGUGCAAUGCGUCUCUGUGCAUUGUGACCCCGUGCAAUGCAUCCCCGUGCAAUGCAUCCUCGUGCAACGCAUCCCUGCGCAUUGUGAUCCCAUGCAAAGCAUCCUCGUGCGAUGCGCCGCCGUGCAACACAGCGCCGUGCAUUUCCUGGUGUCCUGGUGUUGUGUCCCUCCUGCGUGGCAGCCCGAUGCAUCGCGCAUCCCCAUGCGCUGCUGUGUCCAUGCACGUCUCAUCCCCAUGCACCACGUCUGUCUUCAUGGUGCCCCGUGCGUCACAUCGCCGUGCACUGCACUCCUCUGCGUCGCAGCCCAUGCGUUGCAUCCCCUGCACUGCAUUCCUCUGCAUCUCAUCCCCGUGCAUUGCAUUCCCUGCAGAUUGCAUCCACGUGCACUGCGUUCCUAUGCAUCACAUCCCCGUGGAUUGCAUUCCCUGCAGAUUGCAUCCCAUGCAUUGCAUUGCUGUGCAUCGCAUCCCCGUGCAUUGCAUUCCCUGCAGAUUGCAUCCCACACACUGCACUCCCGUGGAUCACGCCCCCGUGCAUUGCAUUCCUGUGCAUUGCAUUCCCUGCGGAUUGAAUCCCCAUGCAUUGCAUUGCUGUGCAUCACACCCCCAUGCAUUGCAUUGCUGUGCAUCUCAUCCCCGUGCAUUGCAUUCCCUGCAGAUUGCAUCCCCGUGCAUUGCAUUCCUGUGCAUCGCAUCCCAGUGGGUUGCAUUCCCUGCAGAUUGCACCCCAUGCACCGCACUCCGUGGAUCACACCCCUGUGCAUUGCAUUCCUGUGCAUCACACCCACACGCACUGCGUUCCUGUGCAUUGCAUCCCCGUGCAUUGUAUUCCCUGCAGAUUGCAUCCAAUGCAUUGCAUUGCUGUGCGUCACAUCCCCAUGCAUUGCAUUCCCUGCAAGUUGCAUCCCAUGCAUUGCAUUCCUAUGCAUCACGUCCCCGUGCAUGGCAUUCCUUGCAGAUUGCAUCCCAUGCAUCGCAUUCCUGUGCAUCACAUCCACAUGCAUGGUGCCCACAUGCAUUGCAUCCCCUGCAUCCCAUGCCCUUGCAUCACAGCCCCGUGCAUCGCACGCACAGCCAUGUGUCUGUCGGUGAUUGGGAUGCGCGUGCUGCAACGCGUGUGGCUGUGCUGCAACCCAUGUGA
rnacentral:lncRNA from 1 species